UACGGAGGGUGCAAGCGUUAAUCGGAAUUACUGGGCGUAAAGCGCGCGUAGGCGGUUAUGUAAGUUGGAUGUGAAAGCCCCGGGCUUAACCUGGGAAUUGCAUUCAAUACUGCAUAGCUAGAGUCUGGGAGAGGGAAGGGGAAUUCCGGGUGUAGCGGUGAAAUGCGUAGAUAUCCGGAGGAACACCAGUGGCGAAGGCGCCUUCCUGGCCUAAGACUGACGCUGAGGUG
rnacentral:rRNA from 1 species